CUGGUCUAGACUAGAGGAGAAACUGAGGCCCAGAGAAGUGAAAAAAAGGAAAGAAAGCAGGUUUUCAAGCUGUGGACACAAAUAAAAGAUUUUAUUAAUGAAACAAAAUUAUUUUCUAUGUAUCUAAGUAUAGAAAAAAGGAUAUUUGCCAAGAGUGAACCGAUGAGUUUUGUUUAUUUUCUCUUGGCUGUGUUUUCUAUUUAUUUUCAAUGAACACUGAUUAUUCAUAUGAUUUAAAAAAUAAAAAUAAACCAAUCCCAGA